rnacentral:lncRNA from 1 species
AAACACUUUGUUUUUUUCAGGCGAGGAAGAAGUUGAUGUUGAUAUUAAUACAGAAAUAAAACUAUCUACAUUUCCACAGCUACCUGCUAAAUUAGGCAAAAUGUUACCAUCAAAUAUUUCACUAUAUAAAAAGGUUGUGGAUGUGGUACCACAAGGAUAUAAAAGUGAUCAUGCAACUAAACUAUCACCAAUUCCACAGUCACCUGGUCUUUCAAGCUGUUAUUCUAAGAUACCUUCAUUCAAAUCAAGCAUGGUGACUAUACCAAAAGAAAAUAAAAUGAAUCAAUCAACUAACCAAUCAGCACUUUCUCCUUUUCUGUUACCCUGAAAAUUUGAUUCUAAAAUACCAAUAUUCAGACAGAGAGCUGCCACAUCAAAAGACAAUGUAGUAGAUCGAUCAAUGAAACUAUCAGCAUUAAAUAGAAAGUUUCAAGCAAACAUGAUACUGAGUGAGCCAACUGCUCCUCAAGAAAAUGAAAUCGAUAAUGGGAAGUUUCAGAGAAAAGUUCUUUAUCAGUUAUCAAAUAUGGCUAACGAAAUUAAAGAUUUACGAAUAGCAGUGGAAAUGAUGGC